UGCCAAGUCGUUGUUGUCAAACCCUAUAACUGCAGUAAACUCUUUGUUUAAGCUACAGUUCAGGACUGUUUUCCAUUUUUCACAACAAAAUAAAGUGGAAAAUAAACUGGAGUUGGGGUGAGGGGAGGGAGUCCUGAGAAGGGAUCUGGCCUGGAAGAGUACUGGAAUUGGGAAAAAUGUUGCAGAGAAGUGGCACCCAUGAGCCAGCGUGCAGCAUCGGAGGCUGGUUCUGUACAUUUGUGCACAAACCUGUUUGGGAUUAGUCCUCUGUGGAGAUCAAACGUCUUGGAAUGAAGUGACUGAGACAGAGCUGCUUAAUCCCUCUUCAUCAGCAAACAGCAGAGUGCCGGUUAGCAGCAGUAAGCCGGCUGAAACACUGCAGAGUCACUAGUCACCUGCACUUUCACUGAUAGAUUAUCCUUUGACUGUGUUCCUCCCUGAAACCCUGCCCUUUCCUCCCUCCUGCUUGCUUACAGAAGAUAACGUGGGCCAGCAUACACAUGCUUUUUCUGUACUGAGCUGCAGCACCGUCCAUCCCCCUCUGUCCUCCCCUCUGCCUCACUCACAAAAUACCUCUUUCACCCCUAAAACAACACACCGAUGCUCAACAGGCACACACAGAGAUCCACGCAAGUUCUCUACAGGAUGAAGACCUUCGGAGGGUUUAAUCAGAGGCAAAGGGACCUUCCUCCGCUGGCAGACGCUCAGAGAAAUGAAGCAUUCAUUGUGCAGCAGUGAGGUGCAGCAGUUCAUUUUGACAACACAGUGAACACUAAUCAGAGAUGAGGCAGUGGAUGUGAAGGUAUUUAAAGGGAUGCAGAGGAGCCGUAUAAUCAUAGAUUAACUGGACACCUCAGAGAUCUCUAUCAUCUUGAAAGCAAGAUGUGACAUGCAUACCAGAAACUAGUCAGACACUCAGGUCAGAGCCUUUAAAAAUGUAUUCAAUAAAUUCCUUUAAAUUAAAA